UAAUUAUUUCGUGCCAUGUACUGUAAGUGCAGUAACAUUUUUUAAGAGCUUUUGACGAUUUGAAUUUAUGCUUUACUAGGUAAUAACUACGAAUUGAAGAUGAGAUUCGUAGAUCACAUUUUUGACGACUUUGUUGUGGACCAUUUUACGUUAAGAAUUAUUUUGCCAGAAGGAUCCAAGUACGUUUACUUAUACAAAGUUUUCUCUCUUUAGUAGCAUGUAGUUUUAAGAGAGAUUGUUAUGUAGCUAGGGUGAACACCAAACAUGAUUGGUCGAUUUGUGGUCACGUGGCCUUAGAUAAAUGCAAUGUAUCCCGCCCCAACUGGCUGCGUACAUAAUAAACAAAAUAGCAGCACAACUCGUAAGGUUGUAGACUACGAUUUUCCAAGUUUGUGUUAAAAUAAGGAAUGUAAAAGAGAAGGCAAAGGGCAAUAGGAUAUGCUGCUGGAUCUGUUUAAUUAGGUUCUUUUAAUUUUAAACUCGUUUACACUACAUUGUCAUGUCAUACUGUACAUGUACAAUUGUAUGCAUGUUGUUGAUUUUUCUUUCGUCGCUUUUUAACAAAACACUUAAUAUCUGUUCCCUCGACUUCGUCUGGGAAACAUUGAGGUUCUCGGGAAAACGAAACUAUUUUCCUCGAGAGCAGACAUUACAGUAAGUGUAUAGUGUACAAACAAACUCUAAGUGGUUUCAACUUUCAAGCAUCUAUGUGACCCUCGCUAUCCAAAAGAUAAACUUUAAUGACUGAACAGUUGAUACAGCAUGUCUUUAUGUUGAGUUAGAUGAAGUAGAAGAAUAGCAUUAAUAUGAAGUUCAAGAUAUAUGAAGUUCAUAGGAUUAUAUGGACGUGUUUUCAACAUGUCACGCGAGUUUAAGAAUUCUCAGGAAUAUUUAGCAUUUUUGUCUGCACGUUGUUUAUCAUUACAUUUUUUACUUUACUUUCUACCACAUUGUUUUUAACAUAUCUAAUGGACUCUGGUUUUAAUGUGUAGGGAUUUGAAUAUGGAGCUUCCUUUCGAAGCCACCUCUGGGGAAAGUCGGCUUCAUUUUACCUAUCUUGACACUUUUGGAAGACCUGUGGUCGUGUAUCAUAAGAAUAAUCUGGUUGAGCAACACAUUCAAGAAUUUGAG